rnacentral:rRNA from 1 species
CCUACGGGAGGCAGCAGUAGGGAAUCUUCCACAAUGGGCGAAAGCCUGAUGGAGCAACGCCGCGUGAGUGAUGAAGGCCUUCGGGUUGUAAAACUCUGUCAUUCGGGACGAACCGGAGUCUGAGGAAAUGCAGACUCUCUGACGGUACCGGAGGAGGAAGCCCCGGCUAACUACGUGCCAGCAGCCGCGGUAAUACGUAGGGGGCAAGCGUUGUCCGGAUUCACUGGGCGUAAAGCGCGCGCAGGCGGUGAUGUAAGUCUGAGGUGAAAACCCGAAGCUCAACUUCGGGACUGCCUUGGAUACUGCGUCACUUGAGGAUAGGAGAGGCAAGGGGGAAUUCCACGUGUAGCGGUGAAAUGCGUAGAGAUGUGGAGGAACACCUGUGGCGAAGGCGCCUUGCUGGCCUAUUCUGACGCUGAGGCGCGAAAGCGUGGGGAGCAAACAGGAUUAGAUACCCUGGUAGUCCACGCUGUAAACGAUGAGUGCUAGGUGUAGGUGGCUCAUACCCAUCUGUGCCGAAGCUAACGCAUUAAGCACNCCGCCGUCGGGAGGUACGGUCGCGACGACGUACGAACGUACGAAGUAGAGUUAGACGGCGNGAGAGNGCGACGGCGACGACGAGGGAGGAGG